AAGGUUAGGGUUGUAGGGGUACAGGGCUAUAGGUUAUAGGGUCAGGGUCAAGGUUAGGGUUGUAGAGGUACAGGGUUAUAGGGUUAUAAGUUAUAGGGUCAGGGUUGGGGUUAUAGGGUCAGGGUCAAGGUUAUAGGGUCAGGGUCAAGGUUAGGGUUGUAGGGGUACAGGGUUAUAGGUUAUAGGGUCAGGGUCAAGGUUAUAGGGUCACAGUCAAGGUUAGGGUUGUAGGGAUACAGGGGUAUAGGGUUAUAGGGUCAGGGUCAAGGUUAGGGUUGGGGUUGUAGGAGUACAGGCUUAUAGGGUUUGGAUUAUAGGAUUAGGGUUAUAGGGUCAGUGUUAUGGGGUUGUAGAGGCACAGGAUUAUAGGGUUAUAGGGUCAGGGCUAUAGGGUCAGGUCUAUAGGGUUGUAGAGGCAUAGGAUUAUAGGGUUACAGGGUCAGGGUUAUGGGGUUACAGAGGCACAGGAUUAUAGGGUUAUGGGGUCAGGGUUAUGGGGUUGUAGAGGCACAGGAUUAUAGGGUUAUAGGGUCAGGGCUACAGGGUCAGGGCUAUAGGGUUGUAGAGGCACAGGAUUCUAGGGUUAUAGGGCCAGGUUAUAGGGUCAGUGUUGUAGGGUCAGGUUGUAGGGUCAGGUUGUAGGGUCAGGUUGUAGGGUCAGGCUAUAGGGUCAGGUUAUAGGGUCCGUGUUGUAGGGUCAGGGUUUAGGGUCCGUGUUGUGGGGUCCGGUUAUAGGGUCAGGUUAUAGGGUCAGUUUAUAGGAUCAGGUUAUAGGGUCAGGUUAUAGGGUCAGUUUAUAGGGUCAGUUUAUAGGAUCAGGUUGUAGGAUCAGGUUAUAGGAUCAGGUUAU
rnacentral:lncRNA from 1 species